rnacentral:rRNA from 1 species
GGGAUCGGGAUAACACCUGGAAACAGAUGCUAAUACCGGAUAACAAUAGAUGAUGCCUAUCAACUGUUUAAAAGAUGGUUCUGCUAUCACUCUUGGAUGGACCUGCGGUGCAUUAGCUAGUUGGUAGGGUAACGGCCUACCAAGGCGAUGAUGCAUAGCCGAGUUGAGAGACUGAUCGGCCACAUUGGGACUGAGACACGGCCCAAACUCCUACGGGAGGCAGCAGAU